UACGGAGGGUGCGAGCGUUGUUCGGAAUCACUGGGCGUAAAGGGCGCGUAGGCGGCCUUGCAAGUCGGUUGGUGAAAGCCCGGGGCUCAACCCCGGAGGUGCGGCCGAGACUGCAGGGCUGGAGGCCGGAAGAGGAGGGUGGAAUACCCAGUGUAGAGGUGAAAUUCGUAGAUAUUGGGAAGAACACCGAUGGCGAAGGCAGCCAUCUGGACCGACACUGACGCUGAGGCGCGAAAGCGUGGGGAGCAAACAGG
rnacentral:rRNA from 1 species